rnacentral:lncRNA from 1 species
GUUGAUCAUAUUGUAUUUCAACCUUUCAAAUCCAUCUCAUGGAUUAUCCUGGUCAAGAUUUUACUAAAUUGAAAUACACUAAUGCAUAUCUCCUACCAAUUUAGAGGGGUCAAUUCCAUCUUGACUCACACACUGACUUGAUAAGUACUUGACUGCACCUAGUAUCCUUCCGUCACUAAGUUAGAAACUUAGAUAGUCUGAUACUAAAGUAUAGUAAGUUGCUUACAAAUCACCGUGAUGG